rnacentral:rRNA from 1 species
GGCGAACGCUGGCGGCGGGCCUAACACAUGCCAGUCGAACGGAAAGGCCCUGCUUUUUUGGGGUUCUCGAGUGGGGAACGGGUGAGUAACACGUGUGUAACCUGCUCUUGUUUUUCGGAUAAAUUCAGGAAAAUGGGGCUAAUAUCGGAUAGGAUCCCCUGUUGGAUUGGGGGGGGGGGAUAUUUUCGGCGGGUGGGGAUGGACGCGCGGCUGUUGGGCUUGUUGGUGGGGUAGUGGGUUUCCCAGGCUUUGGCGGGUAGGCGGCCUGGGAGGGUGACCGGCCACAUUGGGACUGAGAUACGGCCCAGACUCCUACGGGAGGCAGCAGUGGGGAAUAUUGCACAAUGGGCGGAAGCCUGAUGCAGCAACGCCGCGUGCGGGAUGACGGCCUUCGGGUUGUAAACCGCUUUCGCCUGUGACGAAGCGUGAGUGACGGUAAUGGGUAAAGAAGCACCGGCUAACUACGUG